GGGCAAUUCCACCUCCUUUGGGCCCAGGAGAGAGGCUGAGCGCAGCAGCAGGCUGGGUCCUGCACCCCUGCUCGCCCCCCAUGGGACUGCAAGCAUCCCAGUGCUUGACGGGGCGAGUUGGGCUGCCCCGAUUUUAUUCCUGGCCCCAUCACGUAGACCAGGGGAGCCGGGAGGCUGUCGGCUUUUUUCUUUUCCUCUUUCUACACAAUUACAGCA